GUUAUAGGGUCAAGCGAACAAGUGCAUGUGGUGGAUGCCUUGGCGAUCACAGGCGAUGAAGGACGCGGUAGCCUGCGAAAAGCUACGGGGAGCUGGCAAACAAGCUUUGAUCCGUAGAUGUCCGAAUGGGGAAACCCACUCCUUUUGGAGUAUCCAUGGCUGAAUACAUAGGCCAUGCGAAGCGAACGCGGUGAACUGAAACAUCUAAGUAACCGCAGGAAAAGAAAUCAACCGAGAUUCCCAAAGUAGUGGCGAGCGAAAUGGGAUGAGCCUUGCACUCUUUAUUUGUAUUGUUAGCCGAACGCUCUGGAAAGUGCGGCCAUAGCAGGUGAUAGCCCUGUAGGCGAAAACAGUAUGAAAGAACUAGGUGUGCGACAAGUAGGGCGGGACACGUGAAAUCCUGUCUGAAGAUGGGGGGACCAUCCUCCAAGGCUAAAUACUCGUGAUCGACCGAUAGUGAACCAGUACCGUGAGGGAAAGGCGAAAAGAACCCCGGGAGGGGAGUGAAAUAGAUCCUGAAACCGCAUGCAUACAAACAGUCGGAGCCUCG
rnacentral:rRNA from 1 species